rnacentral:rRNA from 2 species
AAACUUUUAACAACGGAUCUCUUGGUUCUGGCAUCGAUGAAGAACGCAGCGAAAUGCGAUAAGUAAUGUGAAUUGCAGAAUUCAGUGAAUCAUCGAAUCUUUGAACGCACAUUGCGCCCGCCAGCAUUCUGGCGGGCAUGCCUGUUCGAGCGUCAUUUCAACCC